UGCAACCCAAGGGGGUUGACACAUCGAAUAUUUUCAUUCGAAUCAUUCCGUUCAUUCCAGAAUUAUUCCAGAAUGAUGGAGGAAUGAUUCCUUUUUUCCAAAAUUAUUCUUAAUUUAAUUUUUGCGUGUUAGCGCUUCUCUUCUGUCAAACUGCGACAAAACGUAAACAUGCUUCUUAAAUCAAAUCGUGUGUCGCUGAAAAAUUUAAUUGUCCGCAAAACUUCGAGGUAAAAUCCCGCCGGAAUCUUCAACUGACCGAAGUAGCCAACCCGGAACCGGAAAAUGUCAGAAUCCCGUGCUCGGUGGUGCUGAUGAGCAGGGAGGUGCUGCUCAUGCUCGGCUGCUAGCGGACCUAGGAAGGACUUGAACAAAACAUCUCCGGCACGUCCGCCAUCUCCUUUGUCGAAGGAACAACAAUCCGCCUCGCCAACAAGAUGGCUCUUCUGACGGAGAACCCACCAUGCAGCAGGCCUCCCAGGAAACCAGGAAGGGUCCUAACAGCGCCCUGUCGUGCAUCGUCCCAAGACACCCCGGCAGCAAACUGGCCGUCGUACCAGCUUACACACGAGAAGGUAAACACGGGCAAGAACCGACCGAAAUAUCUAAGCCAGUGGAAGACCCGAGAAAGGCCGCAAAGCUCAGUUUAAGACGCCGAUCAAAACCGUCGAACUGCAGGACAAAAAUUUAAACUGCCGGACGACAACCGGCGAUGCUGAGUGUUCUACGAUCCGAGCACGCGACGGAACGCGAAUGGACGAAACACGUGAGCUGACCUCAAGAACUGCGAACCGGGAGCCCCACGGGAUACACGCCUACACGGGACAACUUACAUCCUCGGUGUAUCAGACUUGGCGCAUUUGGAAAAUGUCUAGACGCUCCCAACAUUUCCAGGCUUGCCGGCCUGAACCCAAAAAGUAUUGAGAAUUGUAAAAAUGCGCUAAUGUGAAGAACAAUGUCCGACGUCGUCUCUUGGUGAAACGGUCCGACGAGGACCUCCUUCGACACGUAGUGGUCGUGUUUCGGGACAUCGGAGCGGUGACCGGAGAGAUGCGUCUGCUGGUUCUGGUGGGGAGGUCUCGCUGAAAACGGUGAAGAUGACGUUCUACUGCAGGGGGCGGGGUGAACCUGUGAGUAGUGCUUAAGCGAGAAACACCUAACCAACGACAUUCGAGGGAUGGACCCCCAAAGAUGGACUUCGGUUUCUCUGAUAGCCUCGUUCCAUCUGUGUGUUCUAUCGCGUGCAGCCCCCAGCCGCUGAACUGUCGAUCAUCAUCCCCGCGAUCCAGGAAUCAGGCAGGAACUCGUUUAUGACUGCAGGAUUCAGCACCGGUCCUUCCAGGUUGUGAUGCCACUGAUUCCACGAAGCUUUCGCCGGUCAGCAAAUGCAUCCGCUAACAUUCACGUGAACGAAAUUGACAUCCAAGGGAGUACCAGACGUUUAAAAAGUACCUUUCAUAAUGCGAGCAGGAGCUGUCGUAGGUCACAUCGCGGAAACAGAUCAAGAUCAGAAGUUUGUGAAUCCUCGAAUUCAUUUUUACACAGAUGUUUAUAUUUCUUUAGUUUAUUGUACCUAAAUUGAACUAUUUUCUAUGUUUAAGCUCACCAACAGCUUUGGAUGUUAGAGGGUUGACAAAUAAAAUAACAUUUAUUCAAAGUAUACAUUUAUUGCUUCAAAAAUCAAAUUUAUUGCAAAUUUAUAAGAUGAGUAAUAAGAAAAUGAUCGCGCUGCGCUCCAUCGCGUCCAAGAUCUUGGCCGUCUUGCUCGCCCCGGCCAACUCCCGCACCAGCGCGAAGAUCUUGUUUUGGGGGCUGAGAAUAGAAAAAAAAAUGUUGAUACGGUUGUCAUUUAUAAAGUUACUUACUAAGUGGUCUUCUGGUCGGUUUGGUUCAGCGAAUCCUUGGACAUUUUCAGUAGACGGAGGGCCUUCUGCACGUCAUCUUUGAAGACUUCGUCGGCCAGACGGGGUAGGGAAAGGGCGGAAAGAGCGGUGCAAAAUUCCCAGCAAGUUUCGGGUCGAGUCGUGGUUGCUGUGUGCAUCGCGGGGCAUUUUGACGUACGCGUUGACGAUGCACUCGGACAGUUCCGUCGUAAUGACAGGCAUUUUGCUCUUGCACAGUGUGAUGUACCGUCGGAUCAACGACAUGUCUAGAGUUUUGAUGUGCGAUGGCGGCUGCUUUCCGUGGCUGUGGACGAAGAUGAUGUGUUUGGCCAGACGAAGAUCGUUGUCACGGUCCGGUUUGUCUUGAAUGAGCCAGAGAUGGUCGAAACGGGAAAGCAGAGCGGCUGGCAGUUGGAUGUUCUGCUCGUUGGUACGACGUAGGUUCCAAAGGCCGUACGGUGGAUGGGGAGUGGCAGGAAUCUACACACAAGCGUCUAGACAAGAAAUGACGCCUGCCGUGGCGAUAGAAAUCUUUUGACGUUCCAUGACCUCGUGGGUGGCUUCGAUCGGUAUCGGCCACCGUGACGAACUCGUCGAUGCAGCAAAUGUCCUGAAUGCCGGUAAGCGGAUCCUUCGAGACGGCGGCAGUCAAACCAACUUUGGAAGAACCACGGGCUCAUUGGGUACUGAUCACGCACCGACAAUCGAUCGAUGUAGCCCAACAUCGCAACCGGGAUCUCCCAUCAGGCAGAUGUUGAUGUUGCUACGAAUUUUCAAGUCACUCGGGCUGUGAUUGACUCCACCAACCACUAGCAACAGCAGGAGCCUUCUUCACGUCCAAAUGGCCUUAAAUAUCCGGCGCCAAACUGCUCCCGUGUAAAAUUCAUCCUUGAUCAAUUCGGUCAGCUCGUCCGGAGUCAGCUUGUUGCUCGUCUUGCCAACCUCGGACGGAAUGUGUCCCACGGGAGCCUGAUGGCUGUGCUCCUGCAUCUUAUUCUCCUUUAACUUUAUAAACUUGGAAUCACGCGUCUGCAAAUACAAACGGCCACCGGAUUUGUUCACCCGGCAAUUCAUUGACUUAAAUCGAUAUUUGGCAUGAUGCAUGAAGUUCUUCCAGCUCACCGGUUGCUACGUCUGGGAAUCAUAACGGUCACACGUGGCCACCGUCAUCAUGUGCUACUCCUCGUUGCAACAGGUAACAAUUCUUCGAACCGUGACCAACUUGCCGAUGCUCUCCGCCCUAUCUCCCGGAUCGAAACCGCCUUCGACACGCUCAGUGCACUCAAGUAUACUUAGUAACUUAGUAAACUUAGACACACUUGACCAGCUCGGUUGGAAUCAUGUCCCGCGCAUCAUGCGUCUCGAUUGGAUUCCGCGCCCGAGAAUGCAUCGUCAGUUUAACAGUAAACGCGAUCAAAUCUUUGCCGGUGACACUGCCAUCCUUGACGGAUUAGUUCACCACGAGACAGUCCUCCGCCGAGACCGUCUAAUGGUGGAGAAGAUCUUCGUGAUGGAGUUGAUGACUGCGAUAGGGGCUUGUUGGUUAACACGACCUCUUCCACUGGCAAAUUCCACGAGGUCCACUUCCAGGUGCGUGGUGCACGUUGGGAGGCGACCAGUUUUCAGUAGUAGGAAACACAACUUCUUCCGUCCGGGACGGACCGUCCCUGCAGUGAUUUGGUCUCUUUUUCUAGCAGGAUUAGCUCCGGAACCUGCUGGGCGCCGAACACCUCUGACGGAACCGGUUUCAAAUUUCAAAACCGUGACUUGCUUUUGGAAACAAAAAAGCAACCACGCAAAAAAAACUUGUUGUUUAUGUUGCCGAUGUUUUGACGUUUACACGCUUAUGUGGAAAUACUCAUGAAAUAGAACAAUCAUCCUCAUCAUUCCAAUUAUUCCGGAAUGAUCCUGGAAUUAUUCCAGAAUGAUCGAGUGUCAACCCCCUUGGUGCAACCCCUUGCAACCCGUGUGCCCCCACUUUAGUGCGCCGCCAGUGCACGCGCUAGCUGUCAAACGCUGUUUGGAGGGAAGCUUAACUCCGCCUCACUUCUUGAAAAGUUACCGAAGUAAAAACACGCGCUUUAUAUUAAGUAAAUCUAAAUCGCGUUUUAUUGACCGCGUCGGUCAAGGGCAUUUCAGUGAGCAAAAGAGUUCCUAAAUUUUGCCAAGAGUAACGAGAGUUUCUCAAUGUUCCUCCGAGUGACUCCGGUUUGUUUCUCAGCAUUUCCACCUACAUAUUUGAACCUUGUGUUUGAAAUAAAUAACAAGAGGCCGUUGCCGUUGCUAGGAUUGUCAGGGAGGUUGUUUGUUUGGAAUAUGACUUUUUAGAGGAUCUGUCCGCUCAUUGCAUUUCGACUGCCAAACAUGGCAAGAAAAAGGACUUUCCGAGCCAAAAUGGUUCCUCGCGUUUUGUGGAGACUGACUAUUUAAGUGCACCGUUGGAAAAAGCUCGUCUCGUAGCGAUGUUCCGUUGUCAGGUUGGCCCUUCAGAAGUAGCCGGUUAACCGCAUCUACCUGACCAACGAAAGUUCGCCUAGACAAGAUGGCAGAAGCGUGCUAGGGUCAAGUUCGACGGUCACUGCCCGAAAAGACGUCGUUUCUGUGUACUGAAGGAAGAGUGUCUGAAAAUCUGAACUUCCAGAAUGACCGCGACAGCAACGAUCGAGACAACUGGUACGACACAGCGCAAAUGUAGCGAAGUCCUGUCUAAGCAGAUUGCCAAACCUGCAACAAACCUGAAUCAUCGGCACUCCUAGCUUUUUAUAUAUGUUUGAAAACAGCAAAAUUUAUAAAUAUAUUUUUAUUGGAUUUCUGUACAUGUUUAUCAUAUGAAAGAUCUUCGCUGGUUGCAAUCCUCAUCUUCUCAUCUUCGCUCUUCGCUCAGUAGCUUGUAAAUCCUUCGGAAGUACAACUCAAGUCCUCGUGCGGUUGGCUGAUUUUUUCGAUGACAUUCUCCAGCACCUUCCGGUGAACUAAAACAGCGUUACAGGGAGCUCGAACCAAUCGGAUAACGGAUUCCGAUAGUGUUGCUUCUAAUCAGGGCAAUGUUCCGGAGAGCAAGCUUGAAUUUGUUGUGCGCAAAGUAGACGGCCGAACUAGAAAUAAUUUUUCAGUAAUGAAAUGACCAAUUCAAGUGAAUUCACCCCAAAUACUAAAUGAUACGGCAAUUCCUUUCCGGCAGAAUAUGUUCGCGCUUUUUCCGUCCAUUGCUUUUUACUUCCGGUUACCAUCGGCGCGCAAAGCAAACAUUUGCCCGAUUUCGUCGUUGGAAGUUACUGCUCCUCUCGAUGGCCCGUGAGUCCUUACAUUUGGCAUCGACAAUCGGCUUCAGCUCCACACGCUGUGAACUCAGAUUUAGCACAGGCCGCUGCAUGAGUCAAAAGAACACGGUGCCGGAACGCCCACCGGUGGCCACAAAUUUGUUUGGGAGACGCAAAAACUACAGCACCUGAACUGAAUAUCACAGAGUCGGAAAAACAUAAACAAACAACAACAACGUUGUCAUAGUUUCAUAAACCAAGGUAUCGAUAAUUUGGUGGGAACUGAAAAUUCUCGGGAGUAAGCUGAGUAACGGGAGAAACUCGGAGUUACUCCCAGAGUUUCUCACUGAAUUGCCCUUGGCGUCGGUCGCCCUUCCGCCGUAACACUUUAGUGUGGCCUACCCCAGUACAUGUUUUACAAAAUAAUAAUCUUGAGACAAACCUUACCAGUUGGAAAAAAAAUAUAAAAUCAGAAUGAAAUCCUAUCAAUUAUACCCCGUUUUUCUUAUAAGUUCAAUAUGCACAGUAGAUUAAAAUGAAUAAAAUUAAGUUAGGUUCUCUCAUCAAUAUUUUUCCAAAUUAAAAAAAAAUUAGGACCAAAAAGUAAGGAAAAUGUAUACUUCCGCAAGAAUUUCGGGAAUUCCCGGGAAAUUAAAAAAUUUCCCGGGAAACGGGAAAUAUUAUUUUUCGGGAAAUCCCGGGAAUUCCCGGGAUUUUUUUUGCCGGGACGGGAAAUUGGACGCUCUAACGGAAUCUAAUUAGAAUCGUAUACAAAUUCCGUUUCAAACGCAACAACCGGUUCCGUGUUCGAACCGGUUGUUGCGUUUGAAACGGAAUUUGUGUAAGAUUCUAAUUAGAUUCCGUUUCAGAAUUCGGAUUGAUUUGACUGGGUAGUUUCGAGUAGGAAUCUCGCAAUCGAGAACGCCAAGGCGAUGCUGUAGAGCGAAUAAUUUGUUUUUUUUUUAUAACAAUCAUUGUGUAUUUUAGACUUUGAAAAAAUAAUACCAAUACAUUUACAUAUGUUAUGCUGUUAUGCAAAUAAAUUAUGAAACAUAUUUUAUCCUACACUGAAAUAAAAAAAGUACCAAAUACCUAAAUUCUAAGAAUUUUGGCUCCUUUCCUAAUUUAGUAAUAGGGUUUUUUGGAUUUCCUAAUACAAAAUAAAGGCAAAAUUCCUAGAAUUAAGGAAUUUGGUACUUUUUUUUUAUUUCAGUGUAUAGUUCUGAAUUUAUCCCGAAAAAGGCCUUUCACACAAUCUGUAAAAAAAACAAAACCAAAAACCGUGUAAUGCUUGAAUGCGAUUUAUUGUUCUCAUUACAAAUGUGAUUACAAGAUCAUAUAAACAUGCAGUUUUAACAAAUAUGUAUAUAAAUCGUUUUUUUUUUGUUGUUGUAAAUAGUGUCAUAUAAAAAGUAACAAUUGUACAAAUCGAGUACCGAAAAGGAAAGUGAAGAUUCUAAAUAUACUACAAUUAUCUUGUUGGGUGUGUAAAUGCAACUGCAACAUAUAGCAAAUGUAGGUAGGGAGGCAUUCAUAAACCACGUGGACACUAUUGGGAAGGGGUGGUUGGGCGGUGGUUGGGCAAUUGUCCACGAUCCAUACAAGACAGCUGUCUUCGAGGGGAAUACGAUUUUCAAAAAAGUGUCCACGUGAUUUAUGGAUAGUUCCUAGUCACGGUCUGAUUACAUUGAUCUUAAAAGGUUAAAAAAGAGAUAACUUUAACAAAACAUCCGCAUGAUCUAAAGCUUAAAAGUAGUGUUAUUUUUGGCCUACGGCAAAAUUGGCAUGAAAUUGUUGAGAUUUUUUAAUGUUCCAGAUUAAAGUCUGUGAUAAAAUAUAUAUGAAUGUACUCAAUGGUGGUCCUAGUUCGGGAAGUAGCCGACAGCUAUAAAGUCAACUUCGUUUUUUUUCGAUGGGUCAAUCUUUGAUUUCAGGAGGUAGCAGUACUGAUUGUCAAGAGAAAUAGAUUGGUCGAUGCAAAAUAAAUCGG